rnacentral:lncRNA from 1 species
AUCCUGAGAGAGGGCUCUGAGAGCAGGCCAUGAUGAAUUAGACUUGCCUUGUCACCUUUCCUGCAAUCUACCCCAACAAAAUAACUUUGCCAACUCUAACAGUUUUGUAUGGUUUCCACAGCAAAUUACUGCAAACUUAGUGUCUUAAAACAACACAAAUUUAUAUCGUAGCUUUGUAGGGCAGAAAUCUGCCACAGGUCUUAGUGGGCUAAAAUCAAGGUGUCAGCAGGGCUGCAAUCCUUCCGUAAGCUGUUUCCUCAUGUUUUUGGUUUUCUGGAAGCCACUCACAUUUGCUCAUGGCCCCCUUCCUCCAUUUCAGAGUCAGAAAUAAUAGAUCGUGUCCUCACCCUGCAUCUCUCUGGCCACCUCUGCUUCCAGCUUCUACCUUUAAGGACCCUUGUGAUGACAUUGGGACCAGCUUCAUUUCUCCAAAUGUCCUCCUCUCAUACCUCUCCUUGCACAUCAAGCUGCUCACCCUUUGUGCUUUUGCACAUGCUGUUUGAUUAUGAAACUCCAUGACCCUCCUCCUCAUGAUUCACUUGACUGACUAUUCAACGCUCAGUUCAGGUGGCUCUUCCUUCAGAAAGCCUUUUUCCAUCUACUGUCCUACUGCCCCUCCCAAGUUAAGAGCAGGUGCUGCAAACGGACUGCAUUUGUUGGGGUUGCUCAGCAGGAAAUUGGGGGGGCAGUGAGUGACUCACCAAAACUGAGGGAUACGAAAGGACAAUAGAAUAACAACAGAGAAAAACAUGAAGACAGAAAGGUGUGUGGACUUGUUUUUGCCCACUCUUUCAUUGAUGGUACAGCACUUUAAAGGCCCUCGCUUUAGGCGAUGGCUCCUUUCAUAACUUCCUAACUUUCAGGACCUGAAGGACUCAUCUCCUAUGCCUGUGUGUGUCACUAGGCUUUUGAGACAGGUAAGGCAACACCUAUCACUUGCUGCCCCAACUUCCCAAUUUCUACCCCCAGUCCCAAUUUUUAUAGCCUCCUCUUCUGGACUACAUUUCCCUCUUUGAUUUUGUUCUUAAAGAAAUUGAGACUAGCUAAUUAAAAUUAAUGUAUGCACAUUUACUAUUUUGGUUACUUCUACAGCAAAACAAAACUAUUAGCUAAU